AUGUUUGCUAUGAAUAGGGCACGAAUUUGGGAGAGAAGCUGGAAGCUGGUGGGAUUGCUAACCCGAAGGAGAAGGAAGAAGAGGCCCUCUCUUGUUCCGGAUGUCACCCUCAUCCGAUCCAGGCCCUCUGCUUCUCCCCAGCGACGGCGUGCGAGUAAGAGGAGAUGGCGUCGGAGACGGAGCCCAGCCGCCACCCCGCCUCCUUUCGGCAGCCACUCUGCCCAGCCGUCGCCACUUCUCUCGGGCACGAGCACGCCGACACCCAGCCGCCAACCCGUCGCAUCCAUCUCCUCUCGCCGGAUAUCCCAGCGGAGCGGCCUCGCCGACGUCCAGCUAUCACCUUCCUCUCCUCCUGGGCUCAUUUUCCCAGGUCCGGAUAUACCGCUGGGCUGCCAGCCCCUGUAG
rnacentral:rRNA from 1 species